rnacentral:miRNA from 1 species
GAACGGUCCGAGUCGACUCGCU